rnacentral:rRNA from 1 species
CGAGAAAGCCCGCAAGGGUGAGUAAAGCGGCGCACGGGUGCGUAACACGUGGGUAAUCUGCCCUAGAGUCUGGAAUAACUCGCCGAAAGGCGUGCUAAUGCCGGAUGAGACCACGGGAGCCUCGGCUCCUGCGGGAAAAGGUGGCCUCUGUAUACAAGCUAUCGUUCCAGGAUGAGCCCGCGGCCCAUCAGCUCGUUGGCGGGGUAAUGGCCCACCAAGGCUACGACGGGUAGCUGGUCUGAGAGGACGAUCAGCCACACUGGAACUGAGACACGGUCCAGACUCCUACGGGAGGCAGCAGUGGGGAAUCUUGCGCAAUGGGCGAAAGCCUGACGCAGCAACGCCGCGUGUGUGAUGAAGGUCUUCGGAUCGUAAAGCACUGUCGCGAGGGACG